GUGGGGAAUAUUCCGCAAUGGACGAAAGCCUGACGGAGCAACGCCGCGUGAACGAGGAAGGUCUUCGGAUCGUAAAGUUCUGUUGCAGGGGACGAACGGCACUAUAGCCAAUAAGUAUAGUGAAUGACGGUACCCUGUUAGAAAGCCACGGCUAACUACGUGCCAGCAGCCGCGGUAAUACGUAGGCGGCAAGCGUUGUCCGGAAUCAUUGGGCGUAAAGGGAGCGCAGGCGGAACAUUAAGCGGAUCUUAAAAGUGCGGGGCUCAACCCCGUGAUGGGGUCCGAACUGAGGUUCUUGAGUGCAGGAGAGGAAAGCGGAAUUCCCAGUGUAGCGGUGAAAUGCGUAGAUAUUGGGAAGAACACCAGUGGCGAAGGCGGCUUUCUGGACUGUAACUGACGCUGAGGCUCGAAAGCCAGGGUAGCGAACGGGAUUAGAUACCCGGGUAGUCC
rnacentral:rRNA from 1 species